UGAUGCAGCCAUGCCGCGUGUGUGAAGUAAGGCCUUCGGGUUGUAAAGCACUUUCAGUUGUGAGGAAGGUGGUGUCGUUAAUAGCGGCAUCAUUUGACGUUAGCAACAGAAGAAGCACCGGCUAACUCCGUGCCAGCAGCCGCGGUAAUACGGAGGGUGCGAGCGUUAAUCGGAAUUUACUGGGCGUAAAGCGCAUGCAGGUGGUUUGUUAAGUCAGAUGUGAAAGCCCGGGGCUCAACCUCGGAACUGCAUUUGAAACUGGCAGACUAGAGUACUGUAGAGGGGGUAGAAUUUCAGGUGUAGCGGUGAAAUGCGUAGAGAUCUGAAGGAAUACCGGUGGCGAAGGCGGCCCCCUGGACAGAUACUGACACUCAGAUGCGAAAGCGUGGGGAGCAAACAGGAUUAGAUACCCUGGUAG
rnacentral:rRNA from 1 species